GGUUAAGCGACUAAGCGUACACGGUGGAUGCCCUGGCAGUCAGAGGCGAUGAAGGACGUGCUAAUCUGCGAUAAGCGUCGGUAAGGUGAUAUGAACCGUUAUAACCGGCGAUUUCCGAAUGGGGAAACCCAGUGUGAUUCGUCACACUAUCAUUAACUGAAUCCAUAGGUUAAUGAGGCGAACCGGGGGAACUGAAACAUCUAAGUACCCCGAGGAAAAGAAAUCAACCGAGAUUCCCCCAGUAGCGGCGAGCGAACGGGGAGCAGCCCAGAGCCUGAAUCAGUGUGUGUGUUAGUGGAAGCGUCUGGAAAGGCGCGCGAUACAGGGUGACAGCCCCGUACACAAAAAUGCACAUACUGUGAGCUCGAUGAGUAGGGCGGGACACGUGGUAUCCUGUCUGAAUAUGGGGGGACCAUCCUCCAAGGCUAAAUACUCCUGACUGACCGAUAGUGAACCAGUACCGUGAGGGAAAGGCGAAAAGAACCCCGGCGAGGGGAGUGAAAAAGAACCUGAAACCGUGUACGUACAAGCAGUGGGAGCACAGAGCAAUCUGUGUGACUGCGUACCUUUUGUAUAAUGGGUCAGCGACUUAUAUUCUGUAGCAAGGUUAACCGAAUAGGGGAGCCGAAGGGAAACCGAGUCUUAACUGGGCGUUAAGUUGCAGGGUAUAGACCCGAAACCCGGUGAUCUAGCCAUGGGCAGGUUGAAGGUUGGGUAACACUAACUGGAGGACCGAACCGACUAAUGUUGAAAAAUUAGCGGAUGACUUGUGGCUGGGGGUGAAAGGCCAAUCAAACCGGGAGAUAGCUGGUUCUCCCCGAAAGCUAUUUAGGUAGCGCCUCGUGAAUUCAUCUCCGGGGGUAGAGCACUGUUUCGGCAAGGGGGUCAUCCCGACUUACCAACCCGAUGCAAACUGCGAAUACCGGAGAAUGUUAUCACGGGAGACACACGGCGGGUGCUAACGUCCGUCGUGAAGAGGGAAACAACCCAGACCGCCAGCUAAGGUCCCAAAGUCAUGGUUAAGUGGGAAACGAUGUGGGAAGGCCCAGACAGCCAGGAUGUUGGCUUAGAAGCAGCCAUCAUUUAAAGAAAGCGUAAUAGCUCACUGGUCGAGUCGGCCUGCGCGGAAGAUGUAACGGGGCUAAACCAUGCACCGAAGCUGCGGCAGCGACGCUGAUGCGUUGUUGGGUAGGGGAGCGUUCUGUAAGCCUGCGAAGGUGUGCUGUGAGGCAUGCUGGAGGUAUCAGAAGUGCGAAUGCUGACAUAAGUAACGAUAAAGCGGGUGAAAAGCCCGCUCGCCGGAAGACCAAGGGUUCCUGUCCAACGUUAAUCGGGGCAGGGUGAGUCGACCCCUAAGGCGAGGCCGAAAGGCGUAGUCGAUGGGAAACAGGUUAAUAUUCCUGUACUUGGUGUUACUGCGAAGGGGGGACGGAGAAGGCUAUGUUGGCCGGGCGACGGUUGUCCCGGUUUAAGCGUGUAGGCUGGUUUUCCAGGCAAAUCCGGAAAAUCAAGGCUGAGGCGUGAUGACGAGGCACUACGGUGCUGAAGCAACAAAUGCCCUGCUUCCAGGAAAAGCCUCUAAGCAUCAGGUAACAUCAAAUCGUACCCCAAACCGACACAGGUGGUCAGGUAGAGAAUACCAAGGCGCUUGAGAGAACUCGGGUGAAGGAACUAGGCAAAAUGGUGCCGUAACUUCGGGAGAAGGCACGCUGAUAUGUAGGUGAAGUCCCUCGCGGAUGGAGCUGAAAUCAGUCGAAGAUACCAGCUGGCUGCAACUGUUUAUUAAAAACACAGCACUGUGCAAACACGAAAGUGGACGUAUACGGUGUGACGCCUGCCCGGUGCCGGAAGGUUAAUUGAUGGGGUUAGCGCAAGCGAAGCUCUUGAUCGAAGCCCCGGUAAACGGCGGCCGUAACUAUAACGGUCCUAAGGUAGCGAAAUUCCUUGUCGGGUAAGUUCCGACCUGCACGAAUGGCGUAAUGAUGGCCAGGCUGUCUCCACCCGAGACUCAGUGAAAUUGAACUCGCUGUGAAGAUGCAGUGUACCCGCGGCAAGACGGAAAGACCCCGUGAACCUUUACUAUAGCUUGACACUGAACAUUGAGCCUUGAUGUGUAGGAUAGGUGGGAGGCUUUGAAGUGUGGACGCCAGUCUGCAUGGAGCCGACCUUGAAAUACCACCCUUUAAUGUUUGAUGUUCUAACGUUGACCCGUAAUCCGGGUUGCGGACAGUGUCUGGUGGGUAGUUUGACUGGGGCGGUCUCCUCCUAAAGAGUAACGGAGGAGCACGAAGGUUGGCUAAUCCUGGUCGGACAUCAGGAGGUUAGUGCAAUGGCAUAAGCCAGCUUGACUGCGAGCGUGACGGCGCGAGCAGGUGCGAAAGCAGGUCAUAGUGAUCCGGUGGUUCUGAAUGGAAGGGCCAUCGCUCAACGGAUAAAAGGUACUCCGGGGAUAACAGGCUGAUACCGCCCAAGAGUUCAUAUCGACGGCGGUGUUUGGCACCUCGAUGUCGGCUCAUCACAUCCUGGGGCUGAAGUAGGUCCCAAGGGUAUGGCUGUUCGCCAUUUAAAGUGGUACGCGAGCUGGGUUUAGAACGUCGUGAGACAGUUCGGUCCCUAUCUGCCGUGGGCGCUGGAGAACUGAGGGGGGCUGCUCCUAGUACGAGAGGACCGGAGUGGACGCAUCACUGGUGUUCGGGUUGUCAUGCCAAUGGCACUGCCCGGUAGCUAAAUGCGGAAGAGAUAAGUGCUGAAAGCAUCUAAGCACGAAACUUGCCCCGAGAUGAGUUCUCCCUGACUCCUUGAGAGUCCUGAAGGAACGUUGAAGACGACGACGUUGAUAGGCCGGGUGUGUAAGCGCAGCGAUGCGUUGAGCUAACCGGUACUAAUGAACCGUGAGGCUUAACCUU
rnacentral:rRNA from 1 species